ACUCCGGUUUAGAAAACCGAGAUUAACGGCCGUGGGGAUCCAUUGUGCUGAGCACGCGACAUCCUUUAUCCGAAAACUUCGCCGACAAGCGGCGGUCGGUGGGUCGGUAUAGUUCGCUUGCGGACUACAGGCCACGAUGUAUUUUUUUUAUGAGUCGUGAAAUUUGCACAGGGCAAAAUAUGUAUAGGAGGCGAUGCAAGAAUUCAGGGGACAACUUUACCAGUGAAUGAGAAGUGGAGAAGCAACUGGAUGGUCUUACACAAAAUCCACCCAAUCCACAUAAAGAGAAUGAAAGAGAUAUGUGCAUGGAUUUUGACUGGGACACCUGCCAUCCUGAGUUUCUUCACAGGUCUCCUCAGUUUCUCCAAGCAUAUGAGGAGACAGUACCUUAUGACAGGCAAUGGCCAUGUCUUUUCCAGUACAUCACUCACUCUCAUACUAUUAGAUGACAUUAUGUAGUCUGAGUUACUGAUGUUAAAUAAAUUUGAAAUGAAUAUAGAAUAUCAAUAUAUGAUGUGCAUAUGAAAUUUGUACCACUGCUCUUGAACUAGAGUGAACAGAAAAGAAAUUCAAACAUAUUUGAGUGCGAUAUAUUAUUCGAGUUUCUGUCACAUACAUUUUACGGAUAUUUCAUGAGGAAAUUGUGAAUGGCCCAACAGAUAUAUCAACAAGUCGAUUGAGGGUAACUGUAGCCACAGCAACUCUCAUUCUCCCAUCAAGUUCCAGCAAAAUGACAGCCAUUGGUGGCAUGCACAUAGCAUUCUUGGUAUGCCCACUCAAAUGCAGUAAAUUCAGGUGAAUGAGAUGGUCAAGUGACAUUCUAUUCCUCUGGAAAUUUGUAAUUUAAGAAAUGUUACUUCCUUGUGCAAAUUUGGAGGUACUCCAUCUUGUUGAAAUAACAUGAUAUUAGGACCCUCUGCUUCUACGUAUAACAGGCAUGAGGAAUUCCUCCAUUGUAUCUAGAUGCACUCUGCCUGUCAGAGUGAAUUUGGCAAUUAAAAAAAGGCUGGAAAAUUUUUUGUUUAGACAAAGCACAAAACAGAUUCAACUUUCGACUGUCUACUCAUAUGUUUCAUUUACUUCCAAAUGACUGUUGUCCCACCACAUUCUCAGAUUAUGUUAAUUAGAUUUACCAGUGACAUCACUGAAAAUAAUUUUUGCUGUAAAACGUUUGUCAUCCUGAAGCCUUGAAAGUGACAGCAGAAUUUGUAGUGAAUUGCUCUUGGGCAGUUGCAUGUUGCAGUAGUUGGUACCUACAACUUCUAAAUAUCAAAUGUUACCACAGAAUAUAUUGCAUUGUUUUAUGUCAUUUAACUGUCAAGCAGUAUGUCAGUUUGAUCUGUAAGGAUUGCAUAAUGGAAGUUGUUCAGACUUCAUCCAUCUGACCUUCAGUGACUGGUUAUCUAGCAGUGUAUUUUCCUGUACAAAUGCAAACAGUCUGAUCAAACAAUUUAUACCACUUGUAAACUGAUAUUUUCACUGGUGGUUUCCUCCAUACCCCACACAAAAUCUUCUUUGCACUGUAAACACAGAUCUAGAUUUAUGAAAGAAUGACACACAUUUAGCUAUUUUUACUUGAGAUACUAUUUUUACACUUCAGGUGGAAAGAUAUGAAAACUCAAGUAGCACAAAUUAUAAACUUGAUCAUAUAACCUGCUUGAAUGCUUUUAGUUUUCAUUCUUGUGCAUGGUAAAUAUGUAUGUAUUUCAAGUGUACAUCCUGUUUUAUAAUGCAGAAGAGUAAACAUGAUAACAGAA